UAGGAUUGGAGGUCAAAACCGGUACAGAUGGUGACAUUUAAUAGGAAAAAAAUAGAAAGUUCUGUCCUGGAUCUAGAAAGCCGGAGCCCAGGUAUGAGACACGAGAAGUGUGGCUUAGCAACAUCUCAGAUAAAAAAGAAACUCUAAUGGACAGUAAGCUCAGGAUAAGUAAAGAGUCGGAUGUGGCGCCUGCAAAAAUAAAAAAGAACCCCACCCCAGGCUAUAGUCACAGAUGUGACAGUCUCUCAAAAGGGAAGGGAUGGUCCCAGUUUGUCCCACUCUUCUCAAGACCAGUUCUGGAACAUUCAGCCCAGUUCUGAAAGUCACACUUUGCAAAGGUCAUUGGCAAACUGGACACAUUCAGAGGAGAGCAAUCCGGAGAGUGAAAGAUCGUGAAACACCACAGUGGGCUAUGUGCUGGCCCUGUGUCAGGUACCAAAAGGACAGAGUCACAGAAGACACGGUCUUGUCCUUCAGAAACUUACAGCCCAGGGAGCAAAUCAGAUAAGUAAGUAAACCACAGAAAGAGAGGAGGCAAAAUGAGGAUGUGGAAUCUUGGAAGAAAUUAUGAAAUAUUUUGGACUGGGUGACAUCCAGCAUUCAACACUCUCAAAAGCUGGAGAAAUGAGUGCCUCCAUCUCAAAGGAAGAACGUGAGCCAUGCCUCCCCUCUGUACUACAUGUAUCAAAAAGCCUGACUACAGUGGUUUAAACACGUAAGAUGUAUUUUGCUCACACGACAAGAAGAGAGGAAGUGGGUGAAUAUGGGUCCAAGAAUGUCAGCAGCUUAGUGUCUUGAUUCUCUUGGUCCUUCCCUCAUGGUUACAAGAUGGCUACUACUGCUCUUGCCUUCACGUCUACAUUCCAACAGGAAGAAGGGGAAGGGGCAACACCUGAGAGACAAAAGCUUUCCCAGGAACCCACAGCAGAUGUCUGCUUACAGUUCAUCAUCCAGAACUGUGGCCCCUGGUCCCAAGACGUGGCUCAUUAUCAGGAAUGGCGGUUUGCUCAGCCAGCCAACCAACAGUGUGUGCCACAGCACCCUGAUUUCUCGAACAGUCGGCUCCAUACCGUGGUUCCUGCUCCCGCCCCUGCAUCGAUGGAUUGACAGCCAGCUUGUGAUCCGAACUGUGACUUUUAAUACCUGUCUUGGGUUGGGUCCCCUUGAAGCAGAAGCUGAUACAGGAGUUUACGCAGGUGAGUGAACGAGGAAGGGCUCUCAGGAAGAACCUGUAGAAGAGUAAGAGAAGCAAGAGAGGGGAGGGGAAGACACUGACCGGGCUGUGGGCUCAGCUGAAGUCUUGCCUCAGCUGGAUCCUGCAGGGAGCUCUGGAGUGGGACAGGAUCCAAGACUUGCCCACCUUGAGGCAAGGGAGUGGGGUUUCUACCUCAAUAUCAGUCAGUCAUUGGCUGCUGGCCACUUCAGGGUGGGAGGACCUUCCAGACAUUUCCUAGCGGGGGGCUCCCAUCCUGCUGAGGGCAAUUGUCAGGAGAAGGGGCGGCCACGAGUUGUCAGCAGCCAACACUUAGCGGCAAGUAGAGGUUGGGUGCAACAGCCUCAGAAAGGGAUCCUGGGCCAUAAGCAGCUUCUUCUAUGACUCCCUUCCAGAAAACAAGUUCUGGUCUCUGUCCUCUUUCUCUAAUCUUGUACAAGUAGAUAAGAGACACCUCUGUUUGGAAGAAGCAGCAGUGUCAGGGUCGAAUUCUGGCUCCACAACAUACCACGUCUAUCAUCUAGGCAACUUCAUUUCUCUCUCUCAGCCUCAGUUUCCACAUCUGUAAAAUGGGAGUAGGAAUGUGGUAGUUAUUGUUUGAGAUUAACCAAGACUCUCCAAACCUAAUUCCCUUCUUCUGAUAACAGGCCCCGCCCAGCCAUUACUUAGCCAUGGGGCACGUGACACAGGCCUAGCCAAUCAGAGUAUCCCAUUCACCUGCCCACUUAGGAACAGGACUGACCCAAGUAAGCCAAUCAGAGCCUUCUCUGGGAUUGUUCCAACGGGAGCUAGCGGGAAGGGCCCAUUGCCUGAGGGCCAUGGAGCUGGAAACAUGUAAAGCAGACACUGGCUGCCGCCAUGUUCCCCACCAUAUGUAGCAAGUCUGUCCGCCAGAGGAAAGGGAGGUCCACACCACGAAGAGAGAGACAGAAUGAGAAAGAAGCUGGCCCCUAUCAUUUGUGGCCCUAGAUCCACCCAUGCCUCUCACCAG
rnacentral:lncRNA from 1 species